AGCGACGUCACCAACCCAUAGCCGCAUGUGUUUCAUUUCAAGAAAAAAAAUGUAGGUUUGGUUGGGGGAGAUCCUAAAAGAGGGCAACUAAUGCUGAGACCCUUUGAUAUUGGUUUGCUUUUCCCUGUAUCGCGCUGCUUCGUCUAUGUUCAGAUGUCGCCCCAGCCCUUACCGGGAUGAGUAAACGCUGGGGUUCAGCUCACCGACAGAGGGCGGACUGGCGCGGUGCAAAGCUUGGUAUCACUCCGCUUGCCUAAGGCCGGAUCCCCUUCACUGCGCUCUAGCUCCUCCCGCUGCUGAUUUGGGUACCGGGGACGUGGCGAAGCGAGGUCUGCGGAGGAAAAGGGCACGGCACCCCUUCAGGCAAGGAGAUAAGAAAACUGCCUCUGAUCCAAGCAGAGCAGGUCCAACUUCAGUGGCAGAUCUGGUGGCCUUGGAGUGGCUGAAGACCACAACCCUCCACAGGGCUGCGUUCAGGCACACAGCCAUUCUUCCCUUACCUGAGUGAGCUUCCUCUGCACGUUGUUUAUAUCAUUGGCAGAGCCUGUAGUUGGAAAGGGGGCCGAGUGACGAAUGGACUUUGUAUGAAAACACCAACCUGGGACAGACCUUCAGUCAAGGUUGAGAUGGGGUUGGGGUGUAUAACUUGGCCUUGGCUUUAACUUGGAUCAUGACUGGCUCUGAGGCUAAGGCAGGGGCAGAGCAGAGCCUGGGGCUGCCCUAAAAGCUGGAAUCAGUGGCCCUGCCAACACUAGAGCCAAAGCUAAGAUCCAGGCCAAGGCAGUGGCUGAGGCAGAACUGAAAACAGGACCAGUGACCCAGGCCAAUGCUGGGGUUGGAGCAGUGGCCAGGACACAGACAGUAA
rnacentral:lncRNA from 1 species